GUUAGGAAUAUUGGACAAUGGGGGCAACCCUGAUCCAGCCAUGCCGCGUGUGUGAAGAAGGCCUUAGGGUUGUAAAGCACUUUCGGCUGUGAAGAUAAUGACAGUAGCAGAAGAAGAAGCUCCGGCUAAAUUCGUGCCAGCAGCCGCGGUAAUACGAAUGGAGCGAGCGUUGUUCGGAAUCACUGGGCGUAAAGGGUGCGCAGGCGGUCUUGAAAGUUAGAAGUGAAAGCCCCGGGCUUAACCCGGGAAUUGCUUUUAAAACUCCAAGACUAGAGUACUGGAGAGGUUGGCGGAAUUCCAAGUGUAGCAGUGAAAUGCGUAGAUAUUUGGAGGAACACCGAUGGCGUAGGCAGCCAACUGGACAGUAACUGACGCUCAUGCACGAAAGCGUGGGGAUCAAACAGGAUUAGAUACCCGGGUAGUCC
rnacentral:rRNA from 1 species